CUUGGUCAUUUAGAGGAAGUAAAAGUCGUAACAAGGUCUCCGUUGGUGAACCAGCGGAGGGAUCAUUAAAGAGUUUGUUACAACUCCUAAACCCAUGUGAACUUACCUUCUGUUGCCUCGGCAGGCAGGUCGCAUCUUGCUACCCUGUAGGACCCUAUCCUAUAGUACCUUACAGGGGAAGGUACUACCCGGAGAGACCUACCCGGUAGAGAGAUGCGGUGCCACCUGCCGGUGGACUGAAAAACAAAUUCUGUUUAGUAAAUGGUAUUCUGAAUCAUUAUAUGGAAAUUAAGUUAAAACUUUCAACAACGGAUCUCUUGGUUCUGGCAUCGAUGAAGAACGCAGCGAAAUGCGAUAAGUAAUGUGAAUUGCAGAAUUUAGUGAAUCAUCGAAUCUUUGAACGCACAUUGCGCCCAUUAGUAUUCUAGUGGGCAUGCCUGUUCGAGCGUCAUUUCAACCCUUAAGCCUCUGUUGCUUAGUGUUGGGAGCCUACCGCAUUCUUUGCUGUAGCUCCUUAAAGUUAGUGGCGGAGUCGGUUCACACUCUAGGCGUAGUAAAGAUUUUAUUCUCGCCUGUAGAGAUGAGCCGGUCCCCUGCCGUAAAACACCCCCCUAUUUUUUAUAAGGUUGACCUCGGAUCAGGUAGGAAUACCCGCUGAACUUAAGCAUAUCAAUAAGCGGAGGA
rnacentral:rRNA from 1 species